CUUAUUCCAAUGUCAUGAGUACCUGGAAGGGAGGCAACUCUUAAUUAAAUGUCAUUUUCUUUUUUCAGCAUUGAAGAGCAGCAGAGUGCAGGCUCUCCUCGCAUUGUCUGUGCUGAAGGCUCGGCUCUGGCUCUCAUCACCGUCAUGUAGGCAGUUGAGCAAGCUUUGCUUUAUAAUGAAGGUUAGGAACAAAAAGAUCAAUGGUCUGGCAAUGGUUAUGGAGCUACAAGAGUGCUCAGGACAUCUGGUUGUUAUGAUGGUGCUAAGACAAAACUCUAGUUCUCUUUCUUGAUUGUGUGCAUUUCAUUCUUUAUCAGGAAUGAUCUUUCUGGGGCCUUUUGAUUUGACUGAAUGACUUAUGAUAUUUGGAUAAACCAUGAUUUAUAUUCUCUGACUUGGACCAUGGAGUUUGGUGACAUGUUUUUUAUGGGAGAUCAUCUGUGAUGAGGACAAAGGUCAUUGAAAAGCUGUUCAGACAAAGUUGCUUGGCCUCUAGUGGUCCAUCUGAACCUUCACUUUCGACCUGUUUCCUGACUGUGUUUGCUAAUUGGGUCUUCAGUGCGAAGCAAGAAACAAUGCUCAGCCUUGCUAACUGUUUGUUUAGCUGGAACAUGAAAAUCAAUCUACAGAUGACCAAAAGGGCAGAGCAAACAACAUCCCUGUGGAGUUGGGUGGUUUUGGCCUUGACAUUCAACAGAUGUGGUCUGAGAGCUUCUGUAACCUGAGUGCAGAUGUGGUUCACAUAAAUAAUGUGAUAUUUGCUUCCUGUAAGAAGAUUUUCUUCACCACAUGCAGGGCUGGAGGAAGGUAGAUAAAAGUGUAGGAUAUGGAGACAGAAGAGAAUAGUGAUCUUGGAUGGCUAUUGAAGUCCUGUUGAAAUAAUUGGUUGUGCUCAGAUAUUAUUUGAUGUAUUCUUCUUUUGACUGGUGAAAUGAGAAAGUUUUACAGUUUAUGGAGAAAAGAAUCAGCAUACACACAUACAUACAGACAUACAUACACAAUCAUGAACACAUAUACACAGGUACAUUUGUAUACAUACAGACAGUAAUACACACAGGCAUACACACAUACACAAUGAGCUUACAUACCUAUACAUACAGGCAUACACAAGAUAUACACAUGUACACAUGCUUUCAUAUACACAGGCACACACACAUUUCUCUGGGUAAAUUUCUUAGACUGAUUUGGGAGAAAUGGCUUGUUCGGCUACUUUUGCAGUUUGUCAAAUAUGGCUCUCUAGAUACUAGAGAAAAUAACUCAUGCUCUAUGAGUCCAGAAGUUCUCAACCCUCAACCUCAACUCUCAUAAUCAUUGGAGAGAAAUAAAAUGAUUGAUCAUAUCUGAAAGUUACAAAUAGAGUGGAAUUAUUUAAUGAUGUUUGAGAUGAAAAAGAAAUCAAACAAAAACCAAGCUGCUGACUUCCCCCUACUUAAUGUCCUCAGUCCAAGGAAAUCAAGAUGUGUCAACUUAGAUUAGGAACCCGAUUAAGGAAAUGUGUCAGAAAUUAGGCUUCCAGUGCUAGAUUUUCUAAGGCAGAAUUGAUCAGAAGGAUUCCAAAUAGUGAGGACCCUUUUUAAUUUUAUCGCUCUUGCUUAACGAUGGAAUUCUUUGCUCCUUUUGUUAGAUGCUUAAUGUUAGAGUAGAUACAAGCCAGGAGAGCUUAUUUUAAUCAGGGGAUAUUUUUAAGGUUUGCAACAGUGUGUUACAUUAGCUCUAUCUAGAAAGGCAUUUCUUUUCUUUAUUCUCAAGCAACUCAACCUGACACACUUUCUUUUUAACAAAGGCAGGAGAAGGAAGAGAGAAGAUAAAGGACGAAUAAAUCGAGUAUAAUGUGGCAGAUGCCUUUCUCGCUGCCUAUAAUUGUGGAAAGAAACAAUACGGGGCAGUAAAACUCGUGGAUUCUGUUUGGUUUAUUAGCUCUCGCUGCAUCUCAAGCUGUCUCUCUGCUCCAAUUUUAGACAACACAUGACAUCAUAAUUGCUUCUGGCAUUUUACAGUAAUAGAUAGUGGUGAGAGUUGUCUAAGUUCUUUUUUUUUUCCCCUUCUCCACUCACUUUAUGAGCACAUCUUUGGGAAACAGCAACCUUCUGUUUGCAGUGCAGGCACAUUUCACCAUGGUACCUUUUCUCACUGCACUGCCUGGAAAGAACUUCUGCCCUAUUUAAGUUUGAAAGCAGUUUUCUCCAACACACGGGGUGAUAGAUUUUGAGCAUCUCACGGUCACAUCUACCAAUUUACUUGGGGUGGUAAGACUGAUCACGGUGCUGAGUUGAAAAAAAAAUCAGGAAAAUUAGCCAAGAACAGGAAAGCAAUUACACUAUUCUCAGAAAAAUUCAGAUCCAUAAAAUAUCACCUGGGCCACCCUGUUGUAGUCCUAAAAUAGUAUCUCCAGUCUCAAACUACAUGCCGAGAUUUAUUCUCUGCCUGCCUGAAUGACCUCUCUGUUAAGGGCUGAAGACCUAGCAUACUAAUCAGCAGCUGCAGGGUGGCUACAUAGAGCUAUGAAUGAAAAUGUGAGUUUAAAAUUGACCCCAGCACUUGGUGAUAAGGACAUCUUUAUAAAUACGUGAAGCUGAUGUAAGCAGAGACUGCCACGAGGCAGAUUAGCAUUGUUAAACUGUGUUACAGUCCAAACACUGUGCACCUUGAAUAUUUAUUAUGUUCCUUAAUCUUGCUGAGCAAACAAACUAUAUUUACCAGCAAACAAAAACAAAAACAAAAACAAAAAACCAGCUUCCCUUUCAUGGCCCAAUGUGUCCCCCA